AGCGAACGCUGGCGGCAGGCCUAACACAUGCAAGUCGAACGAACUCUUCGGAGUUAGUGGCGGACGGGUGAGUAACACGUGGGAACGUGCCUUUUGGUUCGGAAUAACUCAGGGAAACUUGUGCUAAUACCGAAUGUGCCCUUCGGGGGAAAGAUUUAUCGCCAUUAGAGCGGCCCGCGUCUGAUUAGCUAGUUGGUGAGGUAACGGCUCACCAAGGCGACGAUCAGUAGCUGGUCUGAGAGGAUGACCAGCCACACUGGGACUGAGACACGGCCCAGACUCCUACGGGAGGCAGCAGUGGGGAAUCUUGCGCAAUGGGCGAAAGCCUGACGCAGCCAUGCCGCGUGAAUGAUGAAGGUCUUAGGAUUGUAAAAUUCUUUCACCGGGGACGAUAAUGACGGUACCCGGAGAAGAAGCCCCGUCUAACUUCGU
rnacentral:rRNA from 1 species